rnacentral:rRNA from 1 species
GACGAACGCUGGCGGCGUGCCUAAUACAUGCAAGUAGAACGCUGAAGCGAGGAGCUUGCUCUUCUUGGAUGAGUUGCGAACGGGUGAGUAACGCGUAGGUAACCUGCCUUGUAGCGGGGGAUAACUAUUGGAAACGAUAGCUAAUACCGCAUAACAAUGGAUGACACAUGUCAUUUAUUUGAAAGGGGCAAUUGCUCCACUACAAGAUGGACCUGCGUUGUAUUAGCUAGUAGGUGAGGUAACGGCUCACCUAGGCGACGAUACAUAGCCGACCUGAGAGGGUGAUCGGCCACACUGGGACUGAGACACGGCCCAGACUCCUACGGGAGGCAGCAGUAGGGAAUCUUCGGCAAUGGGGGCAACCCUGACCGAGCAACGCCGCGUGAGUGAAGAAGGUUUUCGGAUCGUAAAGCUCUGUUGUAAGUCAAGAACGAGUGUGAGAGUGGAAAGUUCACACUGUGACGGUAGCUGACCAGAAAGGGACGGCUAACUACGUG